UGGCGAACGGGUGAGUAACACGUGGGCAAUCUGCCCUGCACUCUGGGACAAGCCCUGGAAACGGGGUCUAAUACCGGAUACUGAGGUCCGCAGGCAUCUGUGGUUCUCGAAAGCUCCGGCGGUGCAGGAUGAGCCCGCGGCCUAUCAGCUUGUUGGUGAGGUAACGGCUCACCAAGGCGACGACGGGUAGCCGGCCUGAGAGGGCGACCGGCCACACUGGGACUGAGACACGGCCCAGACUCCUACGGGAGGCAGCAGUGGGGAAUAUUGCACAAUGGGCGAAAGCCUGAUGCAGCGACGCCGCGUGAGGGAUGACGGCCUUCGGGUUGUAAACCUCUUUCAGCAGGGAAGAAGCGAAAGUGACGGUACCUGCAGAAGAAGCGCCGGCUAACUACGUGCCAGCAGCCGCGGUAAUACGUAGGGCGCGAGCGUUGUCCGGAAUUAUUGGGCGUAAAGAGCUCGUAGGCGGCUUGUCGCGUCGGUUGUGAAAGCCCGGGGCUUAACCCCGGGUCUGCAGUCGAUACGGGCAGGCUAGAGUUCGGUAGGGGAGAUCGGAAUUCCUGGUGUAGCGGUGAAAUGCGCAGAUAUCAGGAGGAACACCGGUGGCGAAGGCGGAUCUCUGGGCCGAUACUGACGC
rnacentral:rRNA from 1 species